rnacentral:sRNA from 1 species
GUGUCGUACUGUUUAGACCUCGUCCCAAAUUAUAUUUUAUUUUAAAAUGUUUGUGAAAAAGUAACAAAAUUUUGUACAAUUUUUAAAAUGUAGUGUGUGUUUUCGGAAUCAAAAUUAAACCUUUUUAAGUGUAAUUUUUGGUUAUAAAAAAUGUGAAAGUUUAGUUUUCGAAAAACUUAAAUGUCUGUUUAAAGGUGACGAAAGACAAGCCUAAUACCUAACAAGGUGACGAAGAAAAAACCAUAAUACGCAACAAGGUGACGAAGAACAAUGUAUAUGUUUUGUAAAAAUAUCAUACUAUUCCUUCUAGAACCUUUUAUUUUGUGUAAGAAAUUCUUUAAAUUAAGUCAUUGUGGAAAUAUGUGCAGUCUGAGAAAUGGAAAAAAUCGGCGAGCCAUAUCUAAGUUAUGCCAGUUACGAAUAUAACGCAAUAUGCAAGGAUAUGAAGUGAAGGAGGGCGGUGUCAUGUGGAAAAUUGUACGGUAGCCAGAUGGCCAGGAUACAGGAUCCAGGAACCAGAUCCAGAUACUGUAUCCAGGAUCUGCAGGACUAGGCUGUUGCAUUUAAUAUUUCGUUUCUCGUUUCGUCCUGCUCUCGACUCAAUUGAAUGCAGGACCAGCUGGCAGGAUCUGAGGAUCCUUGACGUCGGGACAAAGUGGCGGGGGAGUUGGCACACUCGCCGCUCUGAUUUAACGCUCUCUUGCCGAAUGUCGCAUAAGAGCCGAGAAAAACACCUUUUCCGAAAAGUGCGCCAAAAAGGGAUCCUGAUCCCUGGUCACGAGCCAAGCAAACACAAAGGACUACUACUGCCGGGACUACCGACGUCUGCCAGGUCUCCGAAGGACUCGCCAAACAACAAGAACAAGGAGCCAAAGAAAAGAAAAGGAAACAAAAUCGCAUCGUGGCAUGCGUCGGCGGUUGAAGAAAAAAAACAAUACAAGAGCCCUCGGGACAUCUGUCGACGCUCUCCUUCGGCAAACACUAACGCAGAUACACUUGAAAAAAAUGAAACUAAAUGAAACGGGGGGAAAUAAAAUAUUAAAAGGUCUAAGGAGGGAAAUUAUCUGAAAAUGUCUAGGAUCUAAACCAACCAGGAGUAACAAGCUAAAGGACCCAAAAAGGAGCAAAAGGAGUAGGAGGUAUUGCUCAAGUGCUUGCCACAUGUUGCCUUCGUAAAUUGGGAAACAAUCGACGAGCUAAUAGGGUUAAGUGCCGGAAAUGGCUCCAGCCCAGGGAGGGGAACUGCUAAACGUUGCAAUUUUAUGUCAUUAUCUGGAAAGGCAAUAUGUGGUGGAAAUAAAGAGGUGCUUCGCUUCCAGAUCGGGUUAGAAAUGGGCCGGAUAUUAAA